rnacentral:rRNA from 1 species
GACGAACGCUGGCGGCGUGCCUAAUACAUGCAAGUCGAACGGUCUUUUCUAUGGAAGCUUGCUUCCACUGAGAAGAUAGUGGCGAACGGGUGAGUAACACGUGGGUAACCUGCCCAUAAGAGGGGGAUAACAUCCGGAAACGGGUGCUAAUACCGCAUAGGUUUCUUGGUCGCAUGAUCGAGAAAGGAAAGACGGCCUUUGUGCUGUCGCUUAUGGAUGGACCCGCGGCGUAUUAGUUAGUUGGUGAGGUAACGGCUCACCAAGACGAUGAUACGUAGCCGACCUGAGAGGGUGAUCGGCCACAUUGGGACUGAGACACGGCCCAAACUCCUACGGGAGGCAGCAGUAGGGAAUCUUCCGCAAUGGACGAAAGUCUGACGGAGCAACGCCGCGUGAGUGAAGAAGGUUUUCGGAUCGUAAAACUCUGUUGUCAGAGAAGAACAAGUCGGAGAGUAACUGCUCCGGCCUUGACGGUAUCUGACCAGAAAGCCACGGCUAACUACGCGCCAGCCGCCGCAGUAAAAC